rnacentral:tmRNA from 1 species
GGGGGUGUACUGGAUUCGACUACUGGUUGGAGUCGGGAUAAGCAUGUCGCAGGCUCGUCUGCGUUAAAACGGAACGCUAAAAUUAAAUGCAAAAAACAAUACAAUGAAAUCCAACAUGGGUUUCGCCCUCGCUGCAUAAUUUAGUCAGCGUGUCGCCCCGAGGUUUUCUGUUCCCUUGGCAAGCGGCAUCAGAAAAACAGACAACACCAGCCCAGUGUCCUGUAAGUUGGUUGUCAUUUAGGACUUAUCAAUCUGAGGCUCGCCCACGUGCCAAAGUGCGAAAAAUUCAAACGUGAGAUAAGCAUGUAGAAAGUCGCGGUGAAGGCUUUUAGGACCGGGGUUCAACUCCCCGCAUCUCCACCA